GGCAUUAUAACUAGUACGAACAACCGAUAAUACUCUGGUUAGAACACACUCACACAUCAUUUCUUGCGAUUCCAAGGGUUACGAAGACGUCACCGGUCUCCAUGGCUUUGCUGUUGCCAAGAUACGGCUCUCUAGGAUGGGAUGUUGUGGCAGGUGAGGUGAGGCGAUAGGGACAGAGGUGACAUAAGAGUGUCAGUGUUACAUAUUAAGGCGGGGUUGGCUCCACUUUAGACUAUAAGAGAAGAAUGUAGGCAUCAGGGUUGAGGUCAAGUCCAUUUCAAAUGAGUCAGUUCAGCAAGUGAAUUGCCAAAGUUUCUGCAACAAGAUGCCUUUCUUUAGUAAAACACUGGUGCCAGCCUAUUUGCAGUGCCAGCCUGUGUGUGUUGUGUCAGUGAUUUGCAUUGCUCAUCAUCCCUUACAGUAGCAUAAUUUGCAUGGUGAUACUUCAGCACCACCUUCAGGAAUAGUUCCGUCAGUGUGUGUUUGUGUGUGUGUGGUAACUAGACAAAAUGGUUUGACUAUGAUUGGAACAGAAACACACACACACACUGACUGAACUGGUGGUUACGAUCAGAGACACUUUACACGUACGUGGUGGAUUGAGACGAGAGAGGAGAGAAUUAUAGAUCUAGACUAGAUCUGAUUACAAUUUCAAUUUCUCAGAGGUCUUAGGAGAGAGGAGGGGACCACUGCCUCUAAAAUGAAUCUCACUGGGGAACAUGCAUCCCCAAUGUUGAGAGCCUAAUCCAGCAGGAGAGACCAGACUCAACUGUACCGAGCUGUGCGUCCAUGAAGAGUAACCAGUCUAUGGAUCCACUUACUGUGUCCAGAGAGAGAACCUCUUCUACUAAACUAAAGGCACAUCAGAAGAGACCAGUCUCACCUGCACACAGCUGUGUGUCCGUGAAGAGUGACCAGUCUAUAAAUCAUCCAAUCAUGUUCAAAGGUGGAGACUCUUCUACUAAACUACAAGUUCAUCAGGAGAGAUCAGAGUCACCUGUUCCCAGCUAUGUGUCCAUGAAGAGUCACCAGUCUAUGGAUCCACCUGUAAUUUUCAGAGAAAGAGACUACUAAAACAAAGAUGGGGCAUGAAAAUGUCUCAAUUCAGUCAUUGUCACUUGUUGCUUUUUUUCAACAGACAAGUGACUCUGGUCUAUGGAUCAUCCAAUCCUCUGAGUUGGAAACAUUACUACUGGACAAAGGGUCGACCAGGAGAGACCAGACUUGGAUGUUCUUCAUGGGCAAGGAGAGGAGACCUGUCAAAUCUUCCAUGCACUACAGUCACAGAGAGCCAACACUGAGUCUGAGUCUAUGGUGGCAGCUAACUCACCUAAGGGCUCUGAACCCAGCAGCAGUGGCUCUGGUCCAAACAGCAUGCAGGAGCACUUAAGGAAGAAUAAGGACAUAUUAGGGAAGCAGCACAGUCCCAUUGAUUACCUUAGUAUUAGCUCAGAGAGUGGUGAUAACCCUGGUUCCUUUAUGGAUGUCACACUGUCCAAGCGUGAGGGCUACACUGUUCCCCUGCAGUGCCACCAGCAUGAGGCAGCCAUGAUCGGAGACGCCUUCCGGAGCCAUGGCCAGGUCUGUAACUUUAUAGUUGUCUACCAGAGUCAGCCGUCUGUUCCAGGAGAGGACGUGAUUCUACUGACAGGGGUGGCCGGCAGUGGGAAGACCACUUUAGUGAGACGACUGCUGGUUCAUGUCUGGAUCAGGGCCUCAGACUCCCAGAAGCUAGAAGCUCUAUCCUUCAGAGAGCUCAAUCUACUCAGUGAGCCUCAGAGCCUGCUGGAGCUUCUCCUAACGCACUUCAGGCACCUGUUCUGGACAAAUUUGUCAACUCCCAACAUGGCCAGAUCCUGCUCAUCUUGGACGGGCUCAAUGAGCUUCCCCCUUGACUUUGAGGGUCGCCUCGGCCGGCACCUAGCAGCUGACUUAGAACUGGUGUGGACCAGGGGAAUCUGACUGUUUAAUUAAAACAAAGCAUCGCGAAGGCGCAAGGUGGGUGUUGAUGCGAUAUGAUUUCUGCCCAGUGUUCUGAAUGUCAAAGUGAAGAAAUAUGGGUCUUUCAGUCAAGCAUGAACAUGUGAGGGUGGUUACACCAGACUCAAUGAUUUGCUGCGGGGCUAUUGUAAACAAAUCCUGACCUUGACAGGAAGCCAAUUUGAGAGUGAUGGCUCAAACGCAUCCUUGGCUUUGGCUGGGAGGGGGGGGAGUUAAGUCCUGUGAGACGGCUGAUGAAAGUGUACUGCUGGCAUCAGUUUGAUCACAGAGCGGCUGUGGUGAAGCGUUUAAACACGCGUAUCCCAUAUACUUAGCUAACUCUAAAACCGCAAAGGUUUGAAUCGAACGCUGGCUUCGGCUGGACCCGCUAACAGUGGAGCACUAAAUGGAGAUGGAAUGUGCUUAGCGGUUAUGGACACUGCCAGGUCUCAGGUCCGCCAGGGUGCGAGACUCUACACAUUCUAUGUGUGAGCUGUCCUCCACACUCCUUGGUGCAUGUAGUGGAGAUGGCAUGUGCCUUACCAUUAACUGACACUACCAGGCCUCAGGCUUGCCUGAGUGUGGGACACCACAUAUUGUAGGUGAGGAGGUCUCCUCUACGCUCACUAUACUCGAGGAGGAGACUAAACCCAUUGGCCCCGCAGUGAUAGGGCUUUGCAUGAAUCUGGCUCAUGGCCUACGAAGUGUGGAGAGGUAUCUCCAGAUGUCUGGGGAGAGAGGCCUAUAUCUGAUGUGGGUAGUACCAUCCACGCCCAUUGAUUUGCUGUGGAACCAUAAAAUGGACGGAAGAAGCCCAGGUUCUCACUGGGCACGGAUCACUGAAUGUCAACUUGAUGAAAUUCAAGAGGAGCGUACCCACCUGUAGUAAUCCUGCUCAGUACGACAGGAACCGCAGGUUCAGACAUUUGGUGUAUGUGCUUGGCUGAGGAGCCAAUGGUGCGAAGCUACCAUCUGUGGGAUUAUGACUGAACCCCUCUAAGUCAGAAUCCCCCCUAAACGUAACGAUACCGUAGCGCCGCA